rnacentral:rRNA from 1 species
AUUGAACGCUGGCGGCAGGCCUAACACAUGCAAGUCGAACGGUAACAGGAAGAAGCUUGCUUCUUUGCUGACGAGUGGCGGACGGGUGAGUAAUGUCUGGGAAACUGCCUGAUGGAGGGGGAUAACUACUGGAAACGGUAGCUAAUACCGCAUAACGUCGCAAGACCAAAGAGGGGGACCUUCGGGCCUCUUGCCAUCGGAUGUGCCCAGAUGGGAUUAGCUAGGAGGUGGGGUAACGGCUCACCUAGGCAACGAUCCCUAGCUGGUCUGAGAGGAUGACCAGCCACACUGGAACUGAGACACGGUCCAGACUCCUACGGGAGGCAGCAGUGGGGAAUAUUGCACAAAGGGCGCAAGCCUGAUGCAGCCAUGCCGCGUGUAUGAAGAAGGCCUUCGGGUUGUAAAGUACUUUCAGCGGGGAGGAAGGGAGUAAAGUUAAUACCUUUGCUCAUUGACGUUACCCGCAGAAGAAGCACCGGCUAACUCCGUG